AGACAAAUACCCCGGACACAACCAGACAUUCAUAAAAGGGUACGAUAAUGGCGGGCGAACUCGAUGGGAGCACUACUGGUACACUAGGUUGUCCUUAGGUCCUGCAACGGGAAACCGGGGGUCUGGCCCGGAGGGAAAACCCCACACGCCGCCCACGAGAGGCAACGAUGCGUAAAUCCCAUGUCGAGCCCAAUACCCUUCCCUUUCAACAAUUUCACGGCUGUUUCACUCUCUUUUCAAAGUGCUUUUCAUCUUUCCUUCACAGUACUUGUUCGCUAUCGGUCUCUCGCCAAUAUUUAGCCUUAGAUGGAAUUUACCACCCACUUAGAGCUGCAUUCCCAAACAACUCGACUCGUCAGAAGGGCCUCACAGGUGUCGACAUGCACGMUACGGGGCUCUCACCCUCAGUGGCACCCUGUUCCAAGGGACUGGCACACACGUCUAACCCGAGACUCCAACCUGCAAUUUACAACUCGCACACUAGGUGAGAUUUCAAAUCUGAGCUCUUG
rnacentral:rRNA from 1 species